AAUAGAUACCCGGGUAGUCCUAGCCGUAAACGAUACUCGCUAGGUGUCGGCCACGGUGCGACCGUUGUCGGUGCCGUAGGGAAGCCGUGAAGCGAGCCACCUGGGAAGUACGGCCGCAAGGCUGAAACUUAAAGGAAUUGGCGGGGGAGCACCACAACGGGUGGAGCUUGCGGUUUAAUUGGAUUCAACGCCGGAAAUCUUACCGGGACCGACAGCAACAUGAAGGCCAGGCUGAAGACUUUGCCGGAUUAGCUGAGAGGUGGUGCAUGGCCGUCGUCAGUUCGUACUGUGAAGCAUCCUGUUAAGUCAGGCAACGAGCGAGACCCACGCCCACAGUUGCCAGCGUACUCUCCGGAGUGACGGGUACACUGUGGGGACCGCCGCUGCUAAAGCGGAGGAAGGAAUGGGCAACGGUAGGUCAGUAUGCCCCGAAUAUCCCGGGCCACACGCGAGCUACAAUGGUUGGUACAAUGGGUAUCUACCCCGAAAGGGGACGGAAAUCUCCUAAAACCAAUCUUAGUUCGGAUUGAGGCUGCAACUCGCCCUCA
rnacentral:rRNA from 1 species